rnacentral:snRNA from 1 species
GAAGUGCCUACAGACUUCGUG